rnacentral:rRNA from 1 species
GGAAAGUAAAAGUCGUAACAAGGGUUUCCGUAGGUGAACCUGCGGAAGGAUCAUUAGCCGAGUGAGGGCCCUCUGGGCCAACCUCCCACCCGUGUUUAUCGUACCUGUUGCUUCGGCGGGCCCGCCUCACGGCCCCGGGGGGCAUCCGCCCCCGGGCCCGCGCCCCGCCGAAGACACACAAAACGAACUCUUGUCUGAAAGAUUGCAGUCUGAGUACUUGAACUAAAUCAGUUAAAAACUUUCAACAACGGAUCCUCUUGGUUUCCGGCAUCGAUGAAGAACGCAGCGAAAUGCGAUAAGUAAUGUGGAAUUGCAGAAUUCAGUGAAUCAUCGAGUCUUUGAACGCACAUUGCGCCCCCUGGUAAUUCCGGGGGGCAUGCCUGUCCGAGCGUCAUUGCUGCCCUCAAGCACGGCUUGUGUGUUGGGCUCUCGCCCCCCGCUUCCGGGGCGGCGGGCCCGAAAGGCAGCGGCGGCACCCGUCCGGUCCUCGAGCGUAUGGGGCUUCGUCACCCGCUCUGUAGGCCCCGGCCGGCGCCCGCCGGCGAACACCAUCAAUCUUAACCAGGUUGACCUCGGAUCAGGUAGGGAUACCCGCUGAACUUUAAGCAUAUUCAAUAAGCGGAGG